AACACACAGCCUCUCCCCUAAUUUUCCCAUCUUCUUUGCACCCCAGCACCCUCUGAAACAAAAUGACCCCCACCCCCAUCGGCUUGCCGGCUUCAGCAACAACACCCACCGGACUUCACUCCAUCUCACCCACACCAGAAAUAGUAGAAUCCACACACACCAGAAUAGAUAAAAAGAAAAGAAAAUAUGGGCGGAAAAUUCAAGCCGAUUUUUGGAAAGAACUGAAAAUGCCCUAAAUUUAGCUUUCGAUUCUCUUCUCCUUCAUCAGUUCUGUGGGUCUGAUUUAGAACAUAAACAUUUCCAGCUUCUUCUUUGAUUUCUAAUUUUAAAAGAUUAGAUUGUUCAAGGUUUCCAUUUGCCGCUGAGUCGAGGUCCAAGUCGAGUUUGCUGAGUUCGAUUAGUCAUUCAUGGUUUAGUUCGCUUUUGGAUUACAGAGCUGUAGAACAAUUGAAAGUUCAGAUCAUAUUUUAGCCUUUAUAUAGCCGGCUUGUUAUCAAAAUCCCAG
rnacentral:lncRNA from 1 species